UACGUAGGCAGCGAGCGUUGUUCGGAGUUACUGGGCGUAAAGAGUGCGUAGGCGGUUGGCUAAGUUUGGUGUGAAAUCUCCCGGCUCAACUGGGAGGGUGCGCCGAAAACUGGCUGGCUGGAGUGUGGGAGAGGCUAGCGGAAUUCCUGGUGUAGCGGUGAAAUGCGUAGAUAUCAGGAGGAACACCUGCGGUGUGGACGGCUGGCUGGACCACUACUGACGCUGAGGCACGAAAGCGUGGGGAGCAAACAGG
rnacentral:rRNA from 1 species